UAGCUUUGGCAGCACAUAUACUAAAAUUGGAACAAUACAGAGAAGAUUAGAAUGGCCCCUGUGCAAGGAUGACUUGCAAAUUCAUGAAGCGGUCCAUUGAAAA
rnacentral:snRNA from 1 species